rnacentral:misc_RNA from 1 species
AAAAAAAAAAAAAAUCAUCAUGUGGUUUUGCACCUUUGCUAAUGAAACUUUUUAUUUUGUAUUUUGUGCUUUUAGCACUCGGCUGUGUGUUUUCUUGUUCUUUUUAUCUUUAACAUGUGUGUGUAUAUAUAUAUGAGAGUGCACAUGAGCAUGCAUAUUUGUUUUGUCAUGUCUUAAACUGUUUUUAUCUAAAUAUCUAGUUUUCUCUAUGUUGUUUGAUCAGAAAUAAUUAUGUAGUUGAAUUUCAUGCAUCCUCCACUUAAUUUUGAACUGUUUUUCUGGAAGGUUGGAGUCUCCAAGCUUUAGA